CCUUGUGUGUCACAAGGGGGUCUGCUGGUGCCCUCUGCAGGCGCAACCCCUCUCUCUGCAGUGAUCCCGGGGGUGGGGUGUAUCACUCAGCACAGGAGGAGGCUCCCAGGACGUGGGCUGUGAGCUGAACAAGUGAGCCGCAUAGGUGCUGUUGUGUCCGGCUGGCGCCCUUCCUCCACCAUGGAGCUUUGUGCACUCAGUGCCCCUCUGCUAGCCCAGAGGAUUCGUAUCCAUGCAAACACUGAUUGUCUGCCCACUCUGCCUCUCAUUAUCUCUAAUGCCCACACCGGAGCUGUUAGGACCAAUUGCAAACAUGCAGGGGCCAGGUCCAACUUCCCAGCCCCCUGAACAGAGUGGCUCUCCGGGCAUCACACCCAGAGUGACAGCGUCUGUGUGCACCAGCUGUCAGACCUGGGCCACCUGCUGGCACCAAAGACUCCUGUUUAUGGGGACAAUGGAGAAGACAACACCAACUAAUUCACAGGCAUCAAGCAAGCUUUGGAUUGUUGUGGGUGACACAGAGGAGGCAAAAAGCCAUUAUGACUGUAAUCGAAAUGAAUCUUCCAAACCACAUUGAAGAAGAAAUCGUCCUAUUUUCCACCCAGAGAGGUGCAAAGAAAAGAGAAUAGAUGCACGCAAGGCUUUCAGCCUGAGGUUGCAAAAGAUGUCUCUCAGCCCAGGAAAUGGGAUGAUCGUGAACAUCACCAAAUAGUGGCUGCGUUAUGGGAUGUUUCUUAGUGAGAGGUUCUGUGGUUGCACUUAAAAAACAAUUCCACGUUGAUACAGCUUUAGUUCUACAGAAUUCCAGCAAAGCAACUCGUGUGUGAGGCCCAGGCCAACUCCUGGGUCGCAGUGACUCCUGCUUGCAAUAUGGGGAGACAGGGUCUCACUACGAAGCCCAGGCUGCCCUUGAAUUUGUGGUGAUCCUCCUGCCUCAGCCUUCCCAGAGCUGGCAUUAUAGCAGUGUGCCACCACUCCCAGCUGUAAUGGCGUUUUAAAAAGUAGGAUUCGACCUGUCUCUGCAGUGUUCACUUUAGCAAUUACCAAAUAAAAGUUGU
rnacentral:lncRNA from 1 species